UGGGCUCCCUGACAGACGGCUGGCUG
rnacentral:piRNA from 1 species